ACGUAAACUCGACUGCUCACCCCAGGAAUCCUGGUCCAGUUUCUCUCUCGAUUUCUCUCGAUCGAUCGAUGCCGAUUUCGCCAUCCGAAUCGCGCGGAUCGCUGCUCGAUCUUCGGUUCCAUGGCGGCUCCGCAGCAGCUCGGAGCAGCUGGUUUGUGAAGAUCGAGGCGGAUCGGCCCGGCUGAGGUUUGCUGGUCGUGGAAUACGUGUGAGGACGAGUUCAGGCUCGAUCGCGUCGAUUCCAUGGCGGGCGAUCUCGCUUCUCCUCGGUGGCCGCUGCGACGCCCGGAGCGAUCUCCUGCCAUGCUGCUUCGCGGCGGUCGGUUCACGAUGUCGCCGGAGCCGUGUCCGGUGGAAAGUAGCGUGUGGCGAGGUCAGCCUAGGGUUUUGUUGAGCAUCGAUAGGGCUCUUCAGAGGCUGAAAUGAAGUUGCUUGUCUGUGUUGUGACGCGUUGGAAUCGUUGCCGAGGUUGUGGUGAUGUUUGUUGAGACGCGGAUGUAUGAGAGAGGUCGGGGACGAGAGCUGCUCUCCUGACUUUUCGAGGGGGGUGCUGAGUCUCCGAUCGUUCUUUUGUCAUCCAGGCCUUUGCCAUGACGGGUGCGCUUGCAUGGCGGGUCGAAAUGUCAAUAAAAGAUCACUUUUUUGGGGGGUUUUCGAGGGGGAGAUCGCACGGGGGUUUCCCGGGUUCUCCUCUCUCGUGUGCGUUUCUCUUUCUUCUUCCUGUGCGUUCGCUGAGCCCGAUUUGCCCUUCUUCACUAUCUCUCUGCGAUGGCCCCAAAGUUUCAUCCGAAGACUCCGAAACUUCAUCAGCAGGCAAAGCGUUUAUCCUCUAUUCCACACUGCGGAAGGUGAUGCUCUAAUUCGAGGUACUAAAAUCAUCUUAGGCAUUGAGUUCAAAUUUGAAUUGUGCAAAGCAUAAUGCAAGUUUCAGACCUCGCGUAACUCAUACAACUAAUGCCAUAUAUACUUGGGAUAUGGGAACCGUAUUAGCGUGAAUUUUAAUGACGGUUUACUGUCUUUGGAGAUACUAUGAAAAAUUCUAGACUUUUCAAGAAAAGUCCAGGACCAUUGGAAGGCCAGACAACUAUAAGAGCUACCACCACGUUCUGAUAAAAGGUCAAACAUAUGUGCUCAGUGCAAUGCGGAAGUAGUAUGUUCACCGAUAAUUGAUUCAGUGAGGUUCAUGAAUAGUCAAGUUUGCUCAGUAGGGCUCUCGUCAUACCAGAAUUGGCAUAAUUGUUCUCAUUUUAUGAGGAAAAAAAGAAAAGAGCAAAUAACAUUUGUUGUAUCGCAUUUUGUUAUCUUGCUUGAAUCAUAGCUGCAUCAAUAGUAUCAUGAAUUAGUCUUUUUUGAUUUAUGUAUACCUCUAUUGAAUUCAGUAUUAUGUUGAUAACAUGGCAGCAAUCAAAUAGGAUUGACAUUAUGAUUAUUAAUUACUGGUAAGUGCUAUCUGAUUUUUGCGCCUCGGUGAUUCGGUUUCUGCAUCGACCUUGCCUAACCUCUGAGGAUACAUCAAACUGCAAUAUCUCACAUUGUUAAUUGGUUGGUGAUCUUGUACCUUUGAUCGAGCAACACCAAUUAUUGUUUCGUGCUUUGAGUUAUUCCUAGUUUAGUUCUGUAAGCUUGGCCCCUGCAUGCAAAGUACGUUUUUUUAGCAGUCAUGUAAUCAUCUAUAGCAGAUGUACUGGUUCUCUAUGGGUGAUGAAGACCAUGGUGUUUGUAUUGUCUUGGUUUCCUUGGCAAGUAGCCGAUGCACCAGAGCUUUGAAAGCAAAUUUGUUACCGGGUAUUGGACAUAGGCAAUCUCCUUGAAGUGGGGAAAUGGACGGCUAGAUUCUCCCUGCUGCUGAUUGCAUGAAGAAUGAGGAGGCGGAAGUACCCCCUGCUGCUGGCUGGCUGUCAGUGCAAUCACCAUUAUGGUGGCAAAACCGGAUGUCAUCCAAAUGCUGAAUUAUCCCUUGCCGCUGGAUGACUCUGACUAUGUAUGACUUUAUGCUGCCAGACUUUGAAGACUGAUAACAAUUUACUUUGAGUUGUACGUUGGAAAUGGUCAUGCUAAUUUUCUAUGUUGCGAUUUGCACAACUGAUUGGUGGCUUCUAAGUAGUAAACAUUCUCCUAAUGUUAUCCUUUGUUAUAGUUUGUCGUCUGAAGGGAGUUUUUUUUUUUUUUCUUAUCUUUUUAUGAGACACGGUUUGUUCUAGUCAGAGUUUUUCGUUAAUGAUUUGCUAUUUUAGAUGGAUAAAUCCUUGGAAAACUAUAUGCCUCUUCUUUUAUAAUGUUUUUCCCUUUUUGAUUUAUUUUCAUUUGUGUUAAAUGCUACUAUUACAUGGUUUAGUAUCACUUCUCUGUCUCUUCUUUUCAUUUGAUGUCAAAUGUUUUUCUGUUACCAUUUGAAUGGUUUGGAUUGUUUGUUCUAUUUUUGUAUUUGCAAUGUUAAUCUGAUUAGCGAAAGACCUCAAGUCAUUUAGCACCUUGUUGAUGCUUUAAUUGUUAUAUGCUUUGAUGUACCAAGGUACUCGUUGUGUUGGAGGCAUUGUUGCCCUAUGGUCGAGUAAUCUGAUGAAGAGGGAGGAUGAUAAUUUUUGGCUCCUUAACCUGGAUCUCUUGCCUAUUUCUUUUUGGGCGGCGAAAUUGAAAAUGGGUACUGGGUAGACCUUCCAUCUGUUUAAUGGAGUGUUGGCAGUGCAGUUUAUUGCCAUAUUUCUCCUGAACCUGAGGGCAUGUUUGGUGUGAGAUGGUCUGUUUUCUGAUUCAUCUCUAUUUGAGGAUGAUUUUCACUGAUUAUCACCCCAAAUAUCAAUAAUAAAAUGAAGAUAUGCAUCUUAAUUCUGGACACAUCAAAUUGAAACAUGCUCUGGAAAUUAUUAUUCGUGCAAAAAAAAAAAAAAAAAGUAUUUGUUUCCACCAAUUAAACUUGUUUCAAAUUAUUAGGGAAAACUUAUAAAUAUGCUGUCUGUUUUCAUUUGCACUGAGGACGAAAAACGAAGACAGUUUCACAAACUGAAUGGUCUUUUGGUUUUGUUGUGUAAAAUAAAUUAACACUAGUACUGAUCUCACUUGACGUCAUUGUUGUUUCAUCACGGAUAUGAAGUAUCAAUCAAUCAUUGUUGUUAUCUUGGUCGGGAGCCCUCUGCAAUUCUGGAAGGUGGUUGAAUGAUGAAGAUGAGUUAGGACAUUCCAGCAGUGAAGCCAUGGGCACUGGGCAGCAUUGUUAUGAAGCACCUGGAUUUUGUCCAUUGGUUGUGGCUCUUUGAUGUUUGCAGAUGUGCAUUAUUCAGUUCAUGAAGGUAUCAAUACCUCAGUUUUAGAUCAAGUCCUUUUUUAUACUUGUAAAAAGAAAAAAUGUCUAUGAUUUGGUCGUUUCAUUUUGUGUUUGGGGGAGUGAUACUGGUGGUACUGUGGCUGUGAUCAUGAUCCGGGCUUGUCCUGAGCAGGUUGUCACUCUGCAAAGCCAUGGAGCAAGGGGUGUAAGCCUGGACUACAGUGGUAAAUUCACUGUCUGUUUGUUUUGGUUCAUGUGCUUCUGAGAUGUUGGGGUUGCUUGGAUUGUAGGUUAUGCCUAAUUGUCAUGCACAUCUGUGCCGUAUGAAGUGCUUCCUUCCGAUGUUCUUAUGAGUGAUCUUGAAAGCCCUGAUUCUCUUUGCUGUGUUUUCCUCUUUGCGACUUCCCCACAUGAUUCAGUUUGCGCCUGUUGUAUUUGGAAUGACUUUACCUCUUUGCUUUCUGGAGUUGCAAAUUAGAUCUCUCUACUUACUUGCAAUCAGAUUUCUAUAAUUCUAUCUACCUUUUAGCUUUAUGCUUCCUUUUUUUGUUUCCACUGUUUAACAGUAAGAAAUUUGACAUCUACGUAAUGUAGCUCGGCUCAAUAUUGUUUUUGACGACAUAGAUAUUGUCAUGUAAAGUCGCUAGAACUUUUUCAUUACACAGGAAAUCCUAUUGCGGCUUUCCAAAGAACAUCUUGUGCUAGAACCAGAUCUCCUAGUUUCAUGAUCUCGCAUUUGUUGAUGUUUCUAUUGGUUAAAAGGGUUCUGAUGUGGAAACAUGUGCUCAAUAAAGAUUGUGAAGACUGAAUGUGCCAGCUACUGUAAAUAGAUCCCAUGUGGUCGAAAUCGUGCAUUGCAUAAUUUUUUUGUUGAUUUUUCUCGCAUAAACUAGCUGUCAUUAGUGUAACUCAAAAUUUGGGGAGUAUCUUGCCUAGUUUGUGCCUUUUGUAGUUCACUUUUGAUAAUAGGAAUAAUGUUGCGGAUUGCUAAUCUUGCAUGGCAUCGGACAAUGGGAAAGUUUGUGUAGAAUUAUUAUUUUUUUUUUUUUUUUUGGGGUACUUUGCGGAGGACAGAUGACUUUUGGUAACUUUUUUUUGAGUUGUUUACUAGUAUUCUUUUUCAGCUCUUCUUUCCUUCACUUUUCAUUGACUUCAAAGUUUCAGGUACUUGUUUUUCCUGCAAUCUCUUUGAUCGAUAGGAAUCGUGAAGCGAGAUAUUUAAACUUUGUAGAUAAGGAUUGAUGACUAUUUGUUAUCAAUUUAUAUUAGUUGUGAGCUUGCAGCUGGGACAGAAUUUGAGCGUCUCUCUGUACUUGAAAGAUCCGAAAGCUUAUAACGGGAGAGCGCUCAAACCUCAGCCGAGAGUUGAGGGUUUGAGAGGAUGGUGGUUCGAGUCCACCCGGAUCUGGAUUGUGUCAUGCUUAUAGCAAGUGACAGUGAUGAUGUGAUUUAACCGAUAAAUCGCGUCUUUUCGCAUGCUUUUUGAUGGGUGGAUCAGGAUUGUGUCAUGGUUAUAUCAGGUGAUGUCGUGACAGUGAUGGUAUGAUGUAAUUGAUCAUUCACCCCUUUUCGCAUGCUUUUGAUAUCAUUCCUAUCAAACGGUGCCUGAAUUGAUGUGUGGAACGUCACAUGAAAUGCCGCCUCCUACUCAGAUCCCGCUUAAUGAGUUAAUGCCCCAGGUUAGGCCCAUUAAAAUGGGCUUUACGCAUCCGAUUGGGAUACGGUUAUGAUCCAUUAGAGCUGGCCUGUCCAAAAUUAGUGUUUUGGAAUUUGUUUUUUUCGAUAUUUUCAAACUAUUAUCUGUAUCUCCUAAAAAAAUUAGUAUAUGUGUCUGACUUUUUUGGUUAAUGUUUUUUUUUUUUUCCCCGGGGGAUACAUAUAUUUUUGAAAAGAUUAACCUUUUCAAAUGGUGACCGACCAAAAAUUAUAAAAAUGAAAAAGUUGUGUUUUUUUUUUUUGGGUCAGAAAGACUAUUCAAAUGCUUAGUUAUCACGCAGGAAUCCUCGGGCAUCGGCAAACGCGGAACUAGACGACACCCAAGGUGAGAUUGGUGGGACCCGUCCGUUUAUUUAAAAAAAGGAAAAAACUAACAAUUUUUUUUCUAACCUUGCGUGUCGUAUUUUUCUUUUUGUAAAAUAAAUGGACGGGUCCCACCAAUGUACUCUUGCGUGUCGUCUAGUUCGGCGUUUCCCCGUGGCCGGAGGAUUCCUGCGUGAUAACCAAGCAUUUUAAUAGUCCACCCUGUAUCCAGCACCGCAGGAUCCUAAUCCACCGCCUCCCGAAUUCCACAAGACGACGGCCAGGAAGGCACCACGUGGCCUUUGGAUCCUCUGCCGACAGCGUCGUCAUCUCUAAUCCUGACCGUCCACCGCCCUCAGCUUCUCUUUAUAACCCGACUCGCCCUAGUUCUUUUUUUCUGUACUCCGCCUCCGAUGUACGAUCGUCCCUCUAGCCGCCGAUCCGCUCCGAUCCGCCUCUGAUGGUCUCCUUCCUUCCUAUCCGGCCAUGGCCGUUUCUUCCUGCGAUCAGAUCGCUCGGGGAUCGUCGCUUCCAUGGCGGUUUCGAUCGUGCGAAGCCUCGAGGGUUUGUAACCCUAGCUGAUUGAGCCGUGUUGGGGACGAAGGAAGCUGAAUCUGCAGGCCUUCGUAAUGAUCACCGGACUCUGGAGCUCAGCGGUGCUCGGUGAGGACGAUCUGGCGGCGGUCAUGGAGGAAAGAAGGGAGAAACUCCCCGAGUUUCGAUUGCUGGACGGAAUCAACGACUGUAAUCUAUGUAUUCGCUUGGGCUACGUGUUCGACGAUUUGUGAGUGAGGUACUGUCAGAUCGUGAUUUUGGGAGGAUGUAUGAGAUUAGAUCGGGACGAGAUCUGGCCUCCUUUGCUUCGGGGGGCCGACGAGUUGCCGAUCGAUCUUUUGUCAUCCCGGCCUUUGCCAUGAUGGGUGCGCUCGCAUGGCAGGUCAACGAAAGUCAAUGAAAAAAACACAGUUUUUCGGGGGUUUUCGAGGGGAGAUCGCACGGGGAUUUGCCUGGGAUCUCCUCUCUCUGCGUGUUGCUCUUGUUCUUGCGUUCUUUGUCCCUGCUAGCUCUCCGCUAUCUCUUUCGAUCGCAUCGCUCGCUCCAUCCAUUCAAAUUAGGAUCUGAAGGAGACACUCAACGCUUCGUCAACAUCUGCCUAAUAUCUGAUGAUGCAGAGAAAGGUAUGAGACAAGGGUUUAAAGGUUGAGCUGAAAGUUUAAUUUUUUCCAAUAUGCCGACAGUUACAUGGGCACAAUCACGUCGGAGCACGAUAUUUGUCUUCUAAUUGAAGUUAUAUUCCAGUUACAUGGCACAAUCACGUUUGAGCACGAUAUUUGUCUUCUAAUUGAAGUUAUAUUCCCUGAGUUGUGAGCAUCAUAAAUUCACAAUACCUAAGCGACCUUUGCUCGUGUUAUAUAAUAUUGUCUUAACAGCGAUAUCGAUCUUUUAAGUUGGAGCAUGCCCUCCAUCUUUUUCAUCACGAGAUGGGGAAAGAUCAAUUAACUGGGUAUGUGUUUCUGAAAAUCUGCAACCUCGCUUGUUAUUCUUCAGUAAUUCAAAUCAAUGGGUUUUUAUCUAUUCAAAUACUGGAAACGUUGUUCUGUUCAUACAAACAUGCUGCACACAGGAACGGAAAUCAUUUUAUGUUUGACUUACCACUUUCCAAUGUGAACGCUGCCUCAAUUAAUUGUCGCUCUCAGAAAACAUGACUGCUCGAUGCUGCGUCUCUUUUUUGGGUUGUCUUUUGCUGUACGGUGGUAUUGUCAAUUUUUCCAUUUGUGGUUGAUUACUCUCAGUUGAAUUGAGUUGACACCCUUCCCUUUAUCAAAGAGGGAAUGUUUUGUAAGGAUUACUGUAUCAGAAGUACUGUUCGUUGUAUAUGUUCCUCGGCCUAUGUGGUCAUCAAUGAUGCUGAGAGACUCGUGGAUGGAUUCUGGGUUAUGAUGAGCCAACUGGAUCUGCGAGCUUGUUGCCGUGGAAGGCUACAUCCUUGUUGCUGGUGAAGUGGAAGAAUGAAGAUCGAGAAAAAGCUGACUGGGCAUUCCUGUUGUUGCGGGAUGAGAGGUGACGUUUUUGCUUGGUGUGGGGUUGUGAGCUGUUGUAUUCCCUUCGCUAAUUUUGCAGGAUAUUUUACCCGUGCUCCAAGUUUGUCUGAUCUUGGAUUUGAUCAUUGCCAUGUCUAAUAGACGGUGAAAGACAUUUUUCGUGCAUGUGAAGGUCGUCUUGUGGUGUUCUUGGUAGAUCAUUUGAUACGUAUGUGCAGUUCCGUUAGAAUGCUGAUAUUGGCAGUUUGUUAGAUGAGUUUGAAGGAUUGGUCCUUCAAUUGUUCUGUUUCUAUCUCAUUGAUCAAAGGUCCUUAAAUUGUUCUGUUUCUAUCUUAUUGAUCAAACCACUUGAUGGUUCACAGCUGCAGAACAGUGGGACAAACUUGUAGGAUUAUUCGCUCCUUAGAUGAGUAUGUGUCUUCGCGUGAAUAGCAAGGGUUUGUCGUCUUGAAUGGUUUCAAAGGUGAAGGCGAAAGGAAGGAAUCUUCUAUUUGGGCAAAGCUUGAUGCCUUUUGAUCUCCGUCCAUACGUUCGACAUCUGCAGCAUUCGCGUGAAUAGUAAGGGUUUGUCAUCUUGAAUGGUCUCAAAGGUCCCGAAAGGAAGGAAUCUUCUAUUUGGGCAAAGCUUGAUGCCUUUUCGUCUCUGUCCAUACGUUCGGCAUCUGCAGCCAUGCUCUUUCCAAUGGCUAUGAAAAUACUGAUUUGCUGCAUGUUCAUAAGGUAUUUAUUAUUCUGGAUUUGGUUUGUGCCGUGAUCAGAGGUAAAUCGGUGAGGAAUUAUGUUGAGUAAUCGCCUUUAUUUUACAUGUAGUUUUUUAGGACCAACCGAUCUUACUCAUGAUGAAAAUUUGUGGGGUGGUGCUCGUA